UUUCAGUGUCUAAAAGUCAGUGAAGGAAAAUAUGUCAUGUUCAUAAACCUAGUUCCUGACUGUUCUUUAUAGCAUCAGAAAACACCAGACUUCAAAAUUUGCUACUUACUGCUCAUUACAGGGCAUGAGUGAUGGGUUGUUUAUAGAAACAUGGACACCUUUACAGUAGUGAUACCACUGAAGAAAAUGUCUCUCCUGCCCCCGGAAAUCAUCAGUUGCAUAUGAAGACUCAAAGAAAGGCUUUUACAUAACCAAGAAUCAUCCCAGGAACCCCGAGCUAGCCUUGAACUCUAUGUAGCCGAAGAUGGAUCUGAACUUCUGCUGCUCAGGCUCCCACUCCAGAACACUGGAAUUACAGACUCCCCAAGAUUCCAGAGGUCAAGGAAGAGAGGGAAGCAGGUUGAGGAACAGCAGUGAUAUCAGGGCCAGCUGGCUAUGGACAUGCAUUUGUGCCUUCAGAAAGACACCAAAUUAGACCAAAGACUCGGAACACAAGACUCUGACUUUGAGCUGCUGGGCUGAAUGUCAUAGACAAGCAGUGAGACCUGUGAGAGGCCUGGACAAAGAAAAUCAUGACCAGUCCUGCGCUUUCAGAAAGACAACAGGCCCCGGCAUUCCUUUGAGGAAGUAAAUGUGGGUGCCAGUUAGGAAACUUCUGUAAAGAAAAGGGCCACUAGAAAUGCAGUGGAAGCCAAGAACAGAAAAAAAAAAAAAAAAAAGAGUCAACCACUAAGAAUAACUGAGAAAGGAGAGAGACUGCAGAAAUGACAGGAGUAUUAUAAAAUAAAGAAAUUGUGAAAAUAAAUAUGAGAAAUUAUUGCACAUAAAACAUAUUAGGAAUGUGGGAAUGUGCCCUAAGUUUUGGUAUUUCACAGUCCAAACAAUCAUAUUAAUAUAUCUGUGGAAGAUAGUAAAAAUUAUUCCCAUGUCUAUUCCAUAAGACUCUAAAGAUCAGAAAAGUAAAAUAUUUUUUAAAAAAAUUAAAAUUACCAAUCAGAUAUGGGGGUACCUGCCUGUAUUCCCAGGACUUGAGGGUUUUAGAUAAGAAGAUCACAAGUUUUAGGUAUCCUGAGUAACCUAGUAUGCUCAAGGCCAGUCUGAACUACAGGGUAAGACUCAGUCUCAAAAAUACUAAGGACCUGAGCUAUAACUCAACCACACAGCUCUUGCUUAGCAUGAGCGAGACCUAGAGUUAGAUAUCACAAAAACAUAAAGGAAGGGAGGGAGGGAGGGAGGCUGGAGAGAGGAAGGGACGAAGAAUAG